AGAAUCAACGCUGGCGGCGUGCCUAACACAUGCAAGUCGCACGAGAAAGGGUAGCAAUACCUGAGUACAGUGGCGCACGGGUGAGUAACACGUGAAUAAUCUACCUCCGAGUGGGGAAUAAACUGAGAGAAAUCUUAGCUAAUACCGCAUAAUACCCACGGGUCAAAGCAGCAAUGCGCUUGGAGAGGAGUUCGCGGCAGAUUAGUUAGUUGGCGGGGUAAUGGCCCACCAAGACGAUGAUCUGUA
rnacentral:rRNA from 1 species